UCCGCGUGCAGACUUCUUAUU
rnacentral:piRNA from 1 species